CUCAUUUAUCCUCCUUCCUUCUCUCCUCUCUGUCUCUUCUCCAAUCCCCCUCCUCCCUUUCUUAUAAAACACAAUGGAUAGGGUCAAGAAUUGGAAGUCAAUCUCAGCUACACAAGUUCAAGACCAUCACAUGUCAGAUGAGACACUACCCCCACACACAAACACACCCCAUCUCAAAUUGCAAAACAAACUAGAAAAGGAAAGAUUUCUGAACUCAGAAGUUGAAUCACCAGUUCAGUGGGGGUGCAGGAGCACGACACAGUGACUAACAGCCACCCCUCCUCUGCACUCUCAGCUGCCUUGCGCUGGCCCUUCUCUGGAGAUGCGGGGUGGAAAACCUGCGCCUCCGAUUGACGAAAUGCUUCCUCACCACCGUCAUCAUCGGCGAAGUUAAGGGUGAAGACUCAUCUUUAGUAAUAAGGCAUGACUGUAAUUCCUCACCCUCUGGCCAUUAUUAAUUAUGAUUCAUUGCAUGAAAGAGAAAAUAAAGAUCUACAUACGC
rnacentral:lncRNA from 1 species